rnacentral:rRNA from 1 species
AUUGAACGCUGGCGGCAGGCUUAACACAUGCAAGUCGAACGAGUAGCGGACGGGUGAGUAAUGGCUGAGAAACUGCCCGAUGGAGGGGGAUACCUUCUGGAAACGGUAGCUAAUACCGCAUACCAUCGGCACGCACCAGAUGGGAUUAGCUUGUAGGUGGGGUAACGGCUCACCUGGGCGACGAUCCCUAGCUGGUCUGAGAGGAUGACCAGCCACACUGGAACUGAGACACGGUCCAGACUCCUACGGGAGGCAGCAGUGGGGAAUAUUGCACAAUGGGCGCAAGCCUGAUGCAGCCAUGCCGCGUGUAUGAAGAAGGCCUUCGGGUUGUAAAGUACUUUCAGCGAGGAGGCGUUACUCGCAGAAGAAGCACCGGCUAACUCCGUGCCAGCAGCCGCGGUAAUUC